CAGCCGCCGCGGUAAUACGAAGGGGGCUAGCGUUGUUCGGAAUUAUUGGGCGUAAAGGGUGCGUAGGCGGUUUGACAAGUCUUAUGUGAAAUCUUCGGGCUCAACCCGAAGUCUGCAUAGGAAACUGUCGGGCUUGAGUAUGGGAGAGGUGAGUGGAAUUUCCGGUGUAGCGGUGAAAUGCGUAGAUAUCGGAAGGAACACCUGUGGCGAAAGCGGCUCACUGGACCAUAACUGACGCUGAUGCACGAAAGCUAGGGGAGCAAACAGGAUUAGAUACCCGCGUAGUCCCUGUCUCUUAUAC
rnacentral:rRNA from 1 species